AACCCAUGGUGAGGGCACUUUAUUAGUAAUUCUUUGUAUCUUUCCCAUGCAUCGUAAACUGUUUCUAAGUCUAUCUAUGCAAACGAAGAGAUAUCAUUACGUAAUUU
rfam:Gossypium arboreum cultivar AKA8401 contig_30945_3, whole genome shotgun sequence.